GCUUCCAGCGGGGUUGGAAGCAUCAGCUUGACGCUAUUGACUGCUUUGGGAUUUUUCUAGAUGACGUCAUAAUAAUAGCUCUCUUCCUAUGAUCCUAAAAAUAACAAGCAUCGAUAGCCAUUAGAGCAGCAAACUGAGGAAGAAGGAAGUUCAAAGCAAUUUGCCUGCAAUUCCAUUUUUAGGACGCGGUAGAGGUGGGUGGAAUCCGGAUCCUAGGUCCCUCACCCCCACAGAGAGAGAUUGUGUGCAGAGCCGACUCCCUCAGACUGGCGACUCCAGGUAGGAG